rnacentral:rRNA from 1 species
UACAGAGGUCCCAAGCGUUGUUCGGAUUCACUGGGCGUAAAGGGUGCGUAGGUGGUGAGGUAAGUCGGAUGUGAAAUCUCCGAGCUCAACUCGGAAAUGGCAUUGGAAACUACCUUGCUAGAGGGUUGGAGGGGGGACUGGAAUACUUGGUGUAGCAGUGAAAUGCGUAGAUAUCAAGUGGAACACCAGUGGCGAAGGCGAGUCCCUGGACAACUCCUGACACUGAGGCACGAAAGCUAGGGGAGCGAACAGG